UAGAGUUUGAUCCUGGCUCAGAACGAACGCUGGCGGCAGGCUUAACACAUGCAAGUCGAACGCGUGUAGCAAUACACGAGUGGCGCACGGGUGAGUAACGCGUGGAUAUCUGCCUUUUGGUUCGGAAUAACCCCGGGAAACUGGGGCUAAUACCGGAUGGCUCCUACGGGAUAAAGAUUUAUCGCCAAAAGAUGAGUCCGCGUCCGAUUAGCUAGUUGGUGAGGUAAUGGCUCACCAAGGCGACGAUCGGUAGCUGGUCUGAGAGGACGAUCAGCCACACUGGGACUGAGACACGGCCCAGACUCCUACGGGAGGCAGCAGUGGGGAAUAUUGGACAAUGGGGGCAACCCUGAUCCAGCCAUGCCGCGUGAGUGAUGAAGGCCUUCGGGUUGUAAAGCUCUUUUGGCGGGGACGAUGAUGACGGUACCCGCAGAAUAAGCCCCGGCUAAUUUCGUGCCAGCAGCCCCGGUCAA
rnacentral:rRNA from 1 species